rnacentral:lncRNA from 1 species
GUGACGUUUGGUCUGAGCUGACCUUUCCUCACAAUCGUGAAUUUGGGCUGUGAGGAUCAGGCCUUGUCAGAACCCGAGAUGAGAGGAGAGAGAUUUCUGGUUCAGUAAGGGUGAGAGCCAGGCUCCAGACUAUAGUGAAUUUUCCGAGGAGAUAUGUCCUGGCAUUGGGGUUGGUGACUUUGAUGGCCAGUUGGGCAGCUCUUUCCACGAUGGCUUUGCGGUUCUUGGAGGAAACAUGGUGAGUGAUCUCGGCACAGUAAGAUUUGUUGCACAUCAGCAGCACUUCCAGCUCCUUGACGUUGUGGACCAGGAACUUCCGGAAGCCACUGGGCAACAUGUGC